rnacentral:lncRNA from 1 species
GUGGGCAGAGACCACCUCCCUCAUUGCCGCUUUGGGUUUGGACCGCUUUAAACAGUAAAGUGACUGUCGACGGCUCAGUCUACAGGGAGGAGAACAAAAGACAGGGUCAGGGCUGGGCAGACUGGACAGGGUAAGAUUCUGGCUCCCCUCACUUGCUAGUUGGAGGAGUGGGGAGGCGAGUUAUUAGUGCCUUUGGGCCCUGACCUUAUAGCCCUUCGUAGGGUGGUGUGCGAAUGUCCAGUGUCCAGUGCUGAAUGCUGAGGGACCCAGUAAGAGGAGGUGGCUAGAACUGGAGGGACAGUUUCCCAGAAGCCUGGGCUUUGGGAUAGCAGCUGGGGAGAGCAGAGUCACGCUAGGCUCUUGUCUAGUGACUGGAGCUGUCAGCAGCAUAAGCCAGGCUCUAUGGAAUGUUGGGUGAGCUGCUUGAGGAACUCCAAGGCCUGUCCCACAGUCUUCCAGCCUCCGACUCUCCGGCCCUCAGCGAGGUCAGCAGUGAGCUACUUUUGGAUCUGAAGUCCCACUGGUUUUUUUGGUUGGUUUUUUUUUUUUUUUUUAAGGUUUUUUGGUUUUUUUUUUUUUUUCUCAUUCCUGUCUUGGGAGCUUUCCCCAACCAGAGAGAGUGAUCUUUCAGCAGACUGAUCGAACACACAGGCUUCUCAGCCCACUCCCUCCAGUCAAGGUUAAGGCCUGGCAAAGGUGGAGGAAGAGAAGCUGAGGAGAAAAAGGCGAGGAGAGCCUAGGCACAGGAAGGUGACCGUGAGUAGAGUUGGGUGGUCCAGGGAUGUGGCUGGGAUCCCCUCUUCCUUCUGGAGUUCUCUUAGACAGUAAGGCUGAAGAGAAGCUUGGUACAGGAACUUCGAAGGUUUCUCAAGCGCUUCCCUCCCUCCCAGUGCUGAUUUCCUGUGGACCAGAUUCCAGCACAGUGGAGGGCCAGAGCUCAGGGAACAGACCCAGCAGCACAGCAAGUCUCCAAGGAAAGCUCUAGCAGUCUCCAGGGGCUGAAGAAC